rnacentral:rRNA from 1 species
GAUGAACGCUAGCUACAGGCUUAACACAUGCAAGUCGAGGGGCAGCAUAAAUCUAGCAAUAGAUUUGAUGGCGACCGGCGCACGGGUGAGUAACACGUAUCCAACCUACCUAUUACUCGGGUAUAGCCUUUCGAAAGAAAGAUUAAUCCCCGAUACGAUACAAAAGCUGCAUGGUUUUUAUAUGAAAGAUUUAUUGGUAUUAGAUGGGGAUGCGUUCCAUUAGAUAGUUGGUGAGGUAACGGCUCACCAAGUCUUCGAUGGAUAGGGGUUCUGAGAGGAAGGUCCCCCACACUGGAACUGAGACACGGUCCAGACUCCUACGGGAGGCAGCAGUGAGGAAUAUCGGUCAAUGGGCGAGAGCUUGAACCAGCCAAGUAGCGUGAGGGAUGACUGCCCUAUGGGUUGUAAACCUCUUUUAUAAGGGAAUAAAACGCUCCACGUGUGGAGCUUUGCAUGUACCUUUUGAAUAAGGAUCGGCUAACUCCGUGCCAGCAGCCGCCGUAA